GCCUACGGGAGGCAGCAGUGGGGAAUAUUGCGCAAUGGGGGAAACCCUGACGCAGCAACGCCGCGUGCGGGAUGAAGGCCUUCGGGUUGUAAACCGCUUUCAGUAGGGACGAUUGUGACGGUACCUACAGAAGAAGCCCCGGCCAACUACGUGCCAGCAGCCGCGGUAACACGUAGGGGGCGAGCGUUGUCCGGAUUUAUUGGGCGUAAAGAGCUCGUAGGCGGCUCAGUAAGUCGGGUGUGAAAACUCCAGGCUCAACCUGGAGACGCCACCCGAUACUGCUGUGGCUAGAGUCCGGUAGGGGAGCAGGGAAUUCCUGGUGUAGCGGUGAAAUGCGCAGAUAUCAGGAGGAACACCAGUGGCGAAGGCGGUGCUCUGGGCCGGUACUGACGCUGAGGAGCGAAAGCGUGGGGAGCAAACAGGAUUAGAUACCCUGGUAGUC
rnacentral:rRNA from 1 species